UCAUCAACCAAAGAUUUCUCGAUUUGUUUUCUCUUUAUGAUUUUCUCUUCCGAAUCGAUAGCUAGUGAAUUAGGGCUUUCUCUCAAUUGUUGAAGCUGCCUCUUCUUCUUCACUGUGGCUCGGCGUCGCCACCAUCUGAAGACCCCUAUUCAUGGCUUUCGGGAAAUUCUCACUGUGCAUCUCUAUCAUCCCCGCUUACAUUUCCAGAUUCUGUAUCGAAAUCUCUCAUUCAUUCAACUUUAUCUCUUAUUGUUGCUUAGUUUUAACCAGUUUGACUUGGGAUUUUGAUUAUGUAGUUUUUCUGUAGAUGAGCUCAUUGUGCACUCUAGAUGUUCGAUAAAAUGUCUAGGUGAGACUCAAACUGGAAAAAUUGCAUUAAGCCGGUCUGUUUUUUUAUUGGUGUUGUAGGGUAACGAUCUGUAGUAGGAGGUAAGAACAAGAAGACAAAAAGACUGUUCCUAAGUCCGAUAAUCUCUAUCUCAAGCUUCUCGUCAAAAAAAACAAAACCAGGAAAGGUCUUUUAUGCUUCUUUUUCUCUAUUUGUUCCAUUGCUUUAUUAAGAUUUGGUCAUUUUAAGAGUUGAAAUUGUAAGUUCUUUAAUUUGUUUCCAUGGUUGAUUACGUUUAGCUACUUUAAUUGUAUUUCUCACUUGUUGGAAAUUUCUUUUGUGAUUUAUAGCUUGUAAAAGCAAUUUCCAAUCUCAUAUGUUAUCCAUGUGUAGUCGCUAACUGAGAAACAAGGAAAGGAACUGCGAGAGAUGAAAGGAGGCAUCAACAUCUUGGACAAUCUUAACAAUAGAGAGAGACAAAUCAUGGAUAUUGAAGCAUCCUUUGAGGCAUGCAAGUCUCAACCAAUUCAUUCCACCAAUAAAAACGUGCAACCGGUUGAAGUUUUACCACUGUUGGCAUAUUUUGAUAGGUUGGUUGCUCCUUAUUUUCCCUUUGAGACAAUCUUAAAUCUGAAUUUCCGAAUCGGCCAAUUUUUUCUCAUAAUAGCCCUGCAUGUAGACACAACAAUGAAGCCCUUGAAACCUGACACUUUACGGUAUUAUAUGUAUGUUGGCAUUUUGUGAAGGAUCUCCUGUGGUGGUAAACAUGCACGUAUAGUUUUCUAGUUGCUAUAGAAUAAUGUAAUCAAUUGGAUGGGAAAGCCAGCCUUGUUCAAAUGUAACCAUUUUUUUGGAAGGUACUUUCUUGUUACUGCUAGCCUUUUGUAUUUGAUUUCUUAUUUUGCAGCUUGUAUAAGGGUCUUGCUCCUCUUUGGCUGUGAAGUUGAUGAUCUUCAGAACAAGGAAGGAUAAUUCAGGUGCUUUUGAUAUUUCUAACAUCUUAAUUAGUUUUACAUUUUGAUAAAAACAUAGGUUGUAUUUUGUUGUUAUGUAUUCUCUUUGUGAUAUGCAGAGAUCAGUUUAUAAGACAAGUGGAAAUAAUGUUAAUACUUUGCUGCUCCAAAUACCUUUGCUUUAAUGUUAUUACAGAUAGCUGAGCAUAAUAUACAAGAACAUGUUGAGGACGAAUGCUCACGAAAGAGCAUUGAUUUUAAGAUAAAAACUAUUGAGGAAACAAGAUUGAAGACUGUGAUAUAUGUUGAUGCUUUUGUACACAUGCUUACAGAGAUUAUGGACGAGAAUGAUAUGGGAAGGCGAAACAUAUAAAGGAGAUUGAAGUUUAUCUUUAUGAUGUUAGCUUUAUUUUGUUUAAAACUUUGUAUGAUGUUAUGUAAAAAAUGGAUAAUGUAGUAAUA